GAAGAACCGGUGGCAACAACAUGCCCCUGUGACGUUCCAUUGGAGGGAAACAGAAUGUCGCAUCCCACAGCAGCUUAUGAAAAGCCGAUGGCGGAACCAAGCCCCGGGGAUGUUCGAUUGGAGGGCAGCAAAACGUCGCCUUCAACAGCUGCUCAUGAAGGACCGAUGGUGGCACCAAGCCCCGGGAACGUUCCAUUGGAGGGUAGUGGAACGUCACCUUUGGCAGCUGCUCAUA